AUUGAACGCUGGCGGCAGGCCUAACACAUGCAAGUCGAACGAGUCGCGGACGUGUUAGCAAUGUCUGUGAAACUGCCUGAUGGAUGGGGAUAACUACUGGACACGGUUGCUAAUACCGCAUACCAUCAGCUGUGCCCAGUUGGGAUUAUCUAGUUGGGGGGGGAACGGCUCACCAAGGUGACGAUCUCUAACUGGUCUGAGAGGAUGACCAGGCACAAGGGAACUGAGACACGGUCCAGACUCCUACGGGAGGCAGCAGUGGGGAAUAUUGCACAAUGGGCGAAAGCCUGAUGCAGCCAUGCCGCGUGUAUGAAGAAGGCCUUCGGAUUGUAAAGUACUUUAAGCGGGGAGGCGUUACCAGCAGAAGAAGCACCGGCUAACUCCGUGCCAGCAGCCGCGGUAAUAC
rnacentral:rRNA from 1 species